GAUGAACGCUAGCGACAGGCCUAACACAUGCAAGUCGAGGGGCAGCACAAGGAGCAAUCUGAGGUGGCGACCGGCGCACGGGUGAGUAACACGUAUGCAACCUGCCUGUAAGCGGGGAAUAACCCGUUGAAAGACGGACUAAUACCGCAUAAAACUGGGAAUCUGCAUGGAUAUUCAGUUAAACAUUUAUGGCUUACAGAUGGGCAUGCGCAUGAUUAGAUAGUUGGAGAGGUAACGGCUCCCCAAGUCAACGAUCAUUAGGGGUUCUGAGAGGAAGGUCCCCCACACUGGUACUGAGACACGGACCAGACUCCUACGGGAGGCAGCAGUGAGGAAUAUUGGUCAAUGGGCGAGAGCCUGAACCAGCCCAAGUCGCGUGCAGGAAGAAUGUCCUAUGGAUUGUAAACUGCUUUUGCAGGGGAUAAAGUGCGGCACGUGUGCCGUUUUGUAUGUACUCUGCGAAUAAGGAUCGGCUAACGUCGUCG
rnacentral:rRNA from 1 species